UGAGAGGCUAUUGGGGAAGCCUCGUUGGAGUAGAAGAUGUCAGUGUAUUGGAGAUCCACGUACCAUGGGUUGAUCAUCAAGAACAACUACAACAGUGAAACACAGCCUAGAAUGCUACAGAGGGCGGGGCGGAGCUGGAAAAGUGAUGUCAGCCCUUUGGAGGAGCUCAGAAGCUCAUGUGUGAAUUCCAGACAUUGAAACAAGAAGCUAUAACCAUUGAAGGUGCCUUGGAGACCCCAAGAUGUUCGAGAUGCCAGAGCCUUGUGAUAUCUGCUGAGGAAAGCUGCUAACAGGGAGUUAAUUGAAUCAGCUGAGGAGAAAGAAGUUUGUUGCAG
rnacentral:lncRNA from 1 species